UUUUUUUUUUUUUUUUUUUGUGGAGAAUUUCCAUGUUGCUGAUUCUCCCUCAUUUUGGAAACCUCUGCGUGUUGUGUUUCACUGCUCUCUCUAGGUCCACUUGAGGUUAAUUUAUCAUUUUUACUAGAAAUUUUUGGGAGCUUGAUACAGCCUUUUUCCUGUCUGCAUAUCUGAGUUGAGUUGUUUUGGAGGAUUCAGAUUGCCUUGCUUUUCAUGUUUCUGCAUUGAGACUUGUGCAUCUGUUUUCAGUAUGUCCUCAGUUUUAUUUGAGGCUGUGUUAGCCUACCAAUAGAGGACUGGCUGUGUCUGACUCAAAGGCAGCCUGCCUACCUUGCACACACAGGUCUGUCAGUACAAUCCUGGGCCGGGGUUGAGGGGAAUAAAGAUAGUGCCAAUGCCCAUGACUUUUGAGGCUUAAAAUGAGCUGCUUUAUAUGUUUGUGAGGUGGAAAUUAGAGUUUCAUGGAAAAAUAUUUGCCCGGAUGCCAUGCACUCAUAUUCUUUUCUUUUCUUUUUUCUUUCCUUGUUUUUUUUAAGACGGGGGUGACUUGGCUGGGUAUACCGCUUCUUGCUGGUAACCCUAGAAUUUAAGAAACAGAAGCAGGAGGAUUAUGAGCUGUAGGCCAGCCUGAGCUGCACAACAAGACUUCCUCUAUCUCCAUGUAUGACCCAUUCAUUGUAUUUAUUUCAUGAUGUGUACCAAGUGGAUGAGUUAUGCAGCUUAAAAAGCAGAGUGAGUCUUGGACUACUGGGAAGACAGAACUAGCCAGAGGCUAGAGAAUGUUAGGUUCUAGAUUAACAGAUGUAAUGGAUGUAAUAUUUUUUCCUGUAGAAAUAUACAGAUAAACCUGUCAUGCAGGGGGAGAAGGGUGUUCUUGUAUUAGAAAUAUAAUAAGGAAGUCCAGGUGGGAAUCAGAGUUGUGGUAUUUCUUGAGUUGCCUCCAGCUCUCAGGUCCAAGGGUAGCUAAGGGAAAAUGGAGUGCCAACAGCUGGGGCUGUGUGCAGCCAUAGCUGACGAAUUCCCUUCGUAGUUUCAUGGCUACUUGUCAGGUGUUCUAGAUCACAGUCUUCUUAGGGCCUUGGAUUCUUUGUGUUCUCCUCAGCAACAGUAGCGUAGGUGCUCAGGCCUACAACUUUGCCAUUACAGUUUGGUUCGUAGUCUGCUCUUAGCAUGGUCUGUGCUUUCUGCUGUGCUAUGACUUCCACUGGUAUCUAGCACAUUUGGUUCUUUAGAUUUUCAGUUUGUUGUUGGUGGUGGUGACAGGCAACAGAGUCAAAUUAAUUGAAGAAAAAGAGGAAGGACAUAGUAGUAGUUCGUUUAAUUACAGAAAACUUAAGGAAGAGAAACCAGAUUGUAGGUCAGCGGCCGUCUGAGUCCUGAGUGGUGGAUUGUCUUCAGUUAUUUACCUUGAAACUUUGUUUUGUGUCAGCAGAGUAAGAGACAGUAUUGUCUAAUUCCAAGACUGCAGUAGAAGCAGUAUGUACCUGCUUCACUGUAAAGUCAGAGGUCUGGACACCACAGAUCUUCAGUACUAAAUUACUGCUUAAAAUUCACACUCCAGAGAGCAGUCUCUUCACACUCAUUAUCUUGUGGGGCAUGCGUGCAGAGCUCGAAUGGGGUAUGGGUAUUAUACUGGCUAGUUUUGUGUCAACUUGACACAGCUGGAGUUAUCACAGAGAAAGGAGCUUCAGUGGAGGAAAUGCCUUCAUGAGAUCCAACUGUAAGGCAUUUUCUCAAUUAGUGAUCAAGGGGGAAAGGCCCCUUGUGGGUGGGACCAUCUCUGGGCUGGUAGUCUUGGGUUCUAUAAGAGAGCAGGCUGAGCAAGCCAGGGGAAGCAAGCCAGUAAAGAACAUCCCUCCAUGUUCUGCAUCAGCUCCAUGGCCUCUGCAUCAGCUCCUGCUUUCUUACCUGAGUUCCAGUCCUGACUUCCUUGGUGAUGAACAACAAUGUGGAAGUGUAAGCUGAAUAAACUCUUUCCUCCCCAAGUGCUUCUUGGUCAUGAUAUUUGUGCAGGAAUAGAAACCCCGACUAAGACAGGUGUGUCUGCUGAACUCACAUAGUGUUCAGAAUGUAAACAGAACAUUGGGAACUGUGUGAAAAGAAACUAGAGUCAGGAUGUUUAUCCUGACCCAGUGUAAGAGUGGAAGCAGACAAAAGAGCCCUUACACAGUGAGUUUGGAUUCUGUAUUUUAAAUUAUGAAGUCAUGUGAUCCUGUUUCUUCCAUAGGACAUGAUUGGAGAGGCAGCAAGACCUGAAGGAAUGAUGGUCCUAGUUGAAAUCCUUACACGUGUCUAUGGCCCACUUUCCUUUCUGGCUGGUUUAAUUUUCUGCAUUUGUUCUUGUGUGCCACUCCUGUGACAUCUGGUUUUUCAUCUUGGAGCUUUGUUGUGGUCCUGUGCUUAGGAGCUUGUACUCCUGGUUUUUCCUUGCUUGGAUUCUUGUCAUUUGUCCCUCAGCUCAUACGCUUCCUUGUCUUUUCUGCUUAUUUAGGAUCUAUUCCCAGUGGCUCUUGGUUUUACUAAGAAGCAUCACAUUAUGUUUUAUUUAUUACUUUAAGUUGCAAUUAGGUACUUUCAAGUUUAUUUUGUUUUUUUAAAAAAAAUUUUAUUAUUAAAGGUUGUAGGCAGGCAGAGUAGCUGCUGAAAACAUGUGACAGCUUAAAUGACAGCCCUUCCCCCAGAGGGGUUGAAGUCCUCAGCCCUGGCUGCCUCCCUUUAAGCAGCUGUCGCUGUCCUCAACCACUGCUGUGUUCACAGGUACCUUCAGUAGCAGAGAGCUCCCAGUGCAGUCCAGUGGGGGCCUUUCAUGCCUUGUGCCCGUGGAGCUAUGCAACCAAACCCAGUGGCAUAGAGCUUCCCUACCACACCCCUGCACACAUCCUGCAGGUUUUGUGUGUGUGUGUGUGUGUGUGUGUGUGUGUGUGUCUCUCACCAAAAUCUCUCUGCUCAUAGUAAACAACCACUGUUUUACGAAUCAGCCAGCGCCUAGGGAUCUCCACUGUUUUGGGGUUAUCAGUGUCGUCCUUGUGGAGUUCACCCCUUAAGUAUAUGUAUAUAUUGUUUAAGUUAUUUACUCUUCUUCUAGACUGUGCAUGGUAGUAGACAAAGAAUUGUGCCUGUAUUGGAAGAUGCCAGGAAUAAUCCGAAUAUCUUAAAAUUUGAUGGAAGCUACUCAGAGCAGAAAGUAUGUGUAUCAUUUUGGGAUGGUGGUUUUUAGUUGUGUUCCCUCACUGUCUGACACGCCAUGCUGUCAUGUGCAGUAGUGAGGAGGGGCUGGAGGAUCUUUGUUUGAUUCUCCCUUUCUGGGCUUUGUGUUUAGGCAAAUGUAGCUUCACUUAAUGUGUGUUGCUGCUUGUCUUGUAGGAAGAGUUAGAAACGCAAAAUAUUCUCCAAACUGGCUUCCAUAAAAAGGAUGUGUUUCGUGUCUUGUAGUCCUAGUACAUAGGAGACUGAAUUAGAGGUUAAAACCAGCCUAGGCGGCAUCGUUAAGAGUCCACUAAUUCCCCAUCAAGAAAACAAGCAAAAUAUCACCAAAGAAAUUCCAGUAUUUUAGUAUUUAUUAUCAGGUUGGGUCCUAAUUAAAAAUAGCAGCGUUUUGAAUGUUCCCUUCCUAUACUAAACAAGUGAACUCUAUGUACUUGUGUUUUUGCCCUCCCCCAACCCCAAGACACCAGGGGUAGAGUACUCUCUCUGUUUUACAUAAAUGCAGUGUGAGGCAGGAAGUGCUGUGUGUGAAGUACUAUGUUUAAGACCAUGGUUAGUAAUUACUGGCCAAGGCAGAUUUGGCUGCAGAUAGAAGUUAUUCUUAUUGUGCUCCUGUACCAUUUAGGGGAGAGGAUGUCAAGAAUCUUACAGUGAGUAGCUAGCUCCUUUGACCUUUCAGCACAGAUGAAAACAGUUUCUCUUUACAGUUGCUACACAUCCAUUCUCAGCUACAUUGUAUAGUCAUGCCUUAAGUCCUUUUUUAUGGGAUGCCCAUGUCAAGUGUUCCCUCUUGGACUGAAAUGUUCUGAGCAUGCUCUCUGAAGCCUUCAGGUGGUGUCUAGAAACCAGGCUCUGACCAUCUCUUUAUGAGUCUCUGCUUUUCAUUCCUUGUCAGUCACUAGUUUUCAGCUUAGUUAUUUAGAACAUUUGAGUAUUAUGGUUCAAAUAAAAGUAUAAAUGGUAUGUGCAGUAAGGGGGCUUUGACACCAGUUUCCAGGGACUUGGGUCUUCUUUCUGCAGCAAGUGGUGGUGUUCUUAAGAGUCCCUCCAGAGGCAAUAGUGUUAUAUACAAAAGUGUUAAAACACUCUUUCAGUCUUUUUUUUUUUUUUUUUUUCUCAAUUAAAAUUUUACUGUAAGGAACUUGAGAAAUAAAUCAAAAACAUUAUUGCUGAGAGGUUAGGCAGACACAAUGUCUGUAUACCCCGGUGAGCUUCUGUAAAGUUAGAACAGGUAUUUUGAAAUGUGGAACUUCAUAUUAUAGUUUAGAUUUUCACUGUUAGGGAUAUUUUUAGGCACUUGUCCACCACAGAAAUU
rnacentral:lncRNA from 1 species